rnacentral:rRNA from 1 species
GAUGAACGCUAGCGGCAGGCCUAACACAUGCAAGUCGAGGGAGGAGCUUUCGGGCUUCGACCGGCGUACGGGUGCGUAACGCGUAUACAAUCUGCCUUUCACAUAGGGAUAGCCCGAAGAAAUUUGGAUUAAUACCUAAUGGUAUAUAGAUGUGGCAUCACAUUUAUAUUAAAGCUGAGGCGGUGAAAGAUAGUAUGCGUUCUAUUAGCUAGUUGGAGAGGUAACGGCUCCCCAAGGCUACGAUAGAUAGGGGUUCUGAGAGGGAUAUCCCCCACACUGGUACUGAGAUACGGACCAGACUCCUACGGGAGGCAGCAGUGAGGAAUAUUGGACAAUGGUCGGAAGACUGAUCCAGCCAUGCCGCGUGCAGGAAGACGGCCUUAUGGGUUGUAAACUGCUUUUGCAGGGGAAGAAUAAGGACUACGAGUAGUUUGA